UACAGAGGGGGCAAGCGUUAUUCGGAAUUAUUGGGCGUAAAGGGCGCGUAGGCGGCUUUGCAAGUGACGGGUGAAAUCCCUCGGCUUAACCGAGGAACUGCCUGUCAGACUGCAUGGCUUGAGACCAGGAGAGGUGAGUGGAAUUCUUGGUGUAGCGGUGAAAUGCGUAGAUAUCAAGAGGAACACCGGAGGUGAAGACGGGUUGCUGGGCUGACACUGACGCUGAGGCGCGAAAGCUAGGGUAGCAAACGGG
rnacentral:rRNA from 1 species